rnacentral:tRNA from 1 species
CAGGGAGACAACAAAAUGUUUAAUAUUAUUAUUUUGUCACCUUAGGUCGAUCGGUAUCUCACGUUUUUAAUUUAUUAAGAAUUUCAUUUCCUAAGUUUUUCUAGGUCACACCCAUUAUUUUUCCUGGGCCAUUAGCUCAGGUGGUUAGAGCGCACCCCUGAUAAGGGUGAGGUCCCUGGUUCAAGUCCAGGAUGGCCCAUAUCUCUAUGUUGGGGGUAUAGCUCAGUUGGUAGAGCGCCUGCUUUGCAAGCAGGAUGUCAGCGGUUCGAGUCCGCUUACCUCCACUGAUCACCACCUCUUCCAUAAUUGGUAAAAAGGAAAUUUUUUGAGUUGUGAUCAAAUUCUGAAAGAAUCUAGCUUCCUAAUGAAAUCAUUAAGAUGCUGGACUCAUUGAAUUAAUUUCAUUGUUUUCAGAGAACCUUGACAACUGCAUAGAUUAUUUUUAAAGACAAUAAGCAUCUUUAAUGAUGCAGAUUUAUUAUUUGUGCAAAUGCAUUAAUAACAAUUCUAUUAAGCUGAUGCUUCAAUAAUUUGAAGUUAUU